GUGCUGCCAGAAGUAGGUCGACAAGCACCUAGAGCACUUCCAAGUGCCCCAUAAAAGGAGCCAACCACCACUACUCAGGAAGCUAGUCGGGAGGAAGAAAGACCAAGCUUGCUGGACGAGGAGUGAAGGCAGAAGGAAUGAGAAAAGGAAGACAAAAAGAAGAAAAAUAACGUACCUUCCAUACUUCCGUGUUUCCAAGAUGGCCACCAAACAUCACUCCAUGUCCAGCUACCUCUGAUGACGUCACUUCUUGCUCCAUUUCAAUGACAUCACUUCUGGCUCCAUCUCAAUGACACCACAUUCAAUCUCCAGAAGAUGACGUCAGUUGCACCAUUACAUUUCUGGUUCCUUCUCAUGACGUCACAUCCGUCUGCCAGUCAUGACAUCAUCUCCUGCCACAUCAUUUCCGCCCGUCUUUUUGUUACAGUAUAAAAACUCCAUCUUUGUAAUUCAUAUUUGUCAACUGUUGUAAAAAGAAUAUUGAUCAACGAUUUGCUUUUUUUGCAUGUCUUUUGGACAUUAUACAGGGACGAAUGUUGUAGUGAAUGUUAUUUCAUUACAACCCAGAGAAUCACAGAGUUUGUUUUUUUUCCUGUGAUCAUCCUUUCCUUUUGAUUGUGAAUAAAUAUAUUUAUUUUUUCCA